AGCUCUGGAUGAAGUGGAUGUCCCCGCUGAAGCCGCCCAGAAGUCGGCAGCUGCCUACUGAGGGCAACGAGCAGGCGCCGCCCCCAUCACCACCACUGCCGCCGCUGCCGCUGCCACCCCCCAGACCGGAUGAGAAGAGUCAGGUGUGCGGCGGGGCUUUGGCCGGGGGCGCGGGCUCCCGCACCGACUGCAGCUCCGAGCAGGAGGGCACCAGGUGCCAGGGGUGUCCCGGCGCGCUCGGAGAGGACAGGGAAGGGCUCGGCGACAGGACACGGGAAGGAGGCGAGCAGCGGGGCUCGGAGAGCCACUCGAGUUGAGACAGGGCCUCGCUUAGAGUAGAGGCAUGGAGCCAUCACCAAUAGCUGAACUGGUGCAACCGUGAACACGCACAGAUUUGUUAAAAACAGAAUUUCUUAUUGGUGCCAACAGCCUGAAUCCAUUGGUGUUUAAGAGGAGCUCUGGUAUUCUAGUGCAUUCUUUUACCUCUGCUUCUGUUGCAUUGCAAGCUGUGCUAGAGAAGACAUAGGAAAUUCGUUUUACCCAAUCAGCAAUUGUAACAAUGGACUACAAACCUACAGAGCAAGCCAGUUUGUUGGAAAACAGGAGUUCCUGCAGCGCAGCACUUGACACAGACUAUCCAGAGGGCAGAGAUUCAAGAGGGUGAAUAAAUCUGAAACAAUCUCCAGAAGGGGAAUCCUAACCUAAAAUUCUAAUUUGAAAAUAUUAGCCAUUUAAAAAGCAGAUUGCCCUUUCUCAUUUGAGCAGUGUAUCACAACUGGACACUUCAAAACGUGUGUACUGUACUACUAAAAAAAUCUAAUACUUGUCUUUGUUAGAGUUGUUAAUUUUUACCAUUUCUGAAAAAUAUCUGCAGCAAAUGUGUAUGAACUUGAAAUUAUCUUACAUUCAGUAUAUCUCAGGUGGUUGAAAUAAUUGCUUUAUAAGGCUCACCUAAUACUGCCUCUUAAUUUUUUUUUCUCUGAACUCCCUUCCCCAUCUUUAAUUUACACUGGCACCAUUGAAAACAGGCAUAACAGUCAUACGUAUCUAGGUCCUUACCCAUACUAAGAGUUGACCUAAAUUAUUCUUCCAUUUACAUCCCAGUAGCAUACUAGCAUCCAGUACAUACAUCUGAGUGGUGUAUCUGGCAUCCUAAGUCUCAGGUAUGAUUGUUUAUAGUCUGGUGCCAAUGAGAAUCAGAUUAGAUGGUCUAUGGUGUAACGAUACUCCAUUUUCUUCAGUGGCUUAUUUUCCAUUUCUCUCCCCACACAUCCUAGAGAAUAUGAUUGAAGUAAUACUAUGCUACAAUAACACACUAUGGUAAGGUCAUGCCUUUCAUUGUAUCAGGAAAAUCUGCCGCUAUCUGUUCUAUUUUCCCCCUUCUUAAUAGUCUCAGUUACAUGAAUUAACAUGAAACGUUUGUAAAUUCAUGUUAAAGUGUUUGAGAUCUCAUCUAAAUAAAUUUUUAUAUAUA